GGACUGCCGGUGACAAACCGGAGGAAGGUGGGGAUGACGUCAAGUCCUCAUGGCCCUUAUAGGGUAGGGCUUCACACGUCAUACAAUGGCCGGUACAAAGGGCAGCCAACCCGCGAGGGGGGGCCAAUCCCAUAAAGCCGGUCGUAGUCCGGAUCGCAGUCUGCAACUCGACUGCGUGAAGUCGGAAUCGCUAGUAAUCGUGGAUCAGCAUGUCACGGUGAAUACGUUCCCGGGUCUU
rnacentral:rRNA from 1 species